UACGGGGGGGGGCAAGCGUUGUUCGGAAUUACUGGGCGUAAAGGGCUCGUAGGUGGCCAACUAAGUCAGACGUGAAAUCCCUCGGCUUAACCGGGGAACUGCGUCUGAUACUGGAUGGCUUGAGUUCGGGAGAGGGAUGCGGAAUUCCAGGUGUAGCGGUGAAAUGCGUAGAUAUCUGGAGGAACACCGGUGGCGAAGGCGGCAUCCUGGACCGACACUGACACUGAGGAGCGAAAGCCAGGGGAGCGAACAGGG
rnacentral:rRNA from 1 species